rnacentral:rRNA from 1 species
UACGGAGGGAGCUAGCGUUGUUCGGAAUUACUGGGCGUAAAGCGCGCGUAGGCGGCUUUGUAAGUUAGAGGUGAAAGCCCGGGGCUCAACCCCGGAACUGCCUUUAAGACUGCAUCGCUUGAAUCCGGGAGAGGUGAGUGGAAUUCCGAGUGUAGAGGUGAAAUUCGUAGAUAUCGCUUGGAACGCCAAAGGUGAAAACAGGUUGCUGGGAAUGUGCCGACGCUGAGACACGAAAGCCAGGGGAGCAAACGGG